rnacentral:ncRNA from 1 species
AGAGUUUGAUCCUAGCUCAAAAGGAAUGCUAACUUUAUGCUUAACACAUGCAAGUCAAAUGUUGUUUCCGGGGAGCUAGGCAGAAGAAAAAGUGGCUCCUAGCUAAAGCUAGCUUUUCUCACCCAGGAGGUGGGAACAAUUGAGAACAAAGUGGCGAACAGGUGCAAAACACGUGGGAAUCUGCCGAAUAGUUUGGGCUCAAUCUUGAAGAAAGCUAAAAAGCACUGUUUGAUGAGCCUGUGUAGUAUUAGGUAGUUGGUCAGGUAAAAGCUAACCAAGCCAGUGAUGCUUGGCUAGUCGUUUUGGAUGAUCAACCACACUGGGACUGAGACACGGCUUAGACUCCCAUGGGGGACAGCCAUGGGGAAUCUUGGACAAUGGACGAAAGCCCGAUCUAGCAAUAUCUCAUAAGUGAAGAAGGGCAAUGCCGCUUGUAAAGCUCUUUCAUCGAGUGCAUGAUCAUGACAGGACUCGGGGAAGAAGCCCUGGCUAACUCCGUGCCAGUAGCCACGGUAAAACCGGGGGGCAAGUGUUUUUCGGAAUGACUAGGCAUAAAGGGCACGUAGGUGGUGAAUCAGGUUGAAAGUGAAAGUCACCAAAAACUGGCGAAAUGCUCUUGAAACCAAUUCACUUGUGUAAGACAGAGAAGAGUGGAAUUUCGUGUGGAGGGGUGAAAUCCAAAGAUCUAAGAAGGAACGCCAAAAGUGAUGGCAGCUCUUUGGGUCUCUACCAAUGCUGGGGUGUGAAAGCAUGGGUAGCAAACGGGAUUAGAUACCCUGGUAGUCCAUGCCGUAAAUGAUGAGUGUUUGCCCUUGGUCUACACAGAUCAGGGGCCCAGCUAAUGCAUGAAACACUCCACCUGGGGAGUACGGUCACAAGACUGAAACUCAAAGGAAUUGACGGGGGCUUGCACAAGUGGUGGAACAUGUGGUUUAAUUUGAUACAACACGCAAAACCUUACCAGCCCUUGACAUAUGAACAACAAAACCUGUCCUUAAUGGGAUGGUACUGACUUUCAUACAAGUGAUGCAUGGCUGUUGUCAGCUCGUGUUGUGAGAUGUUUGGUCAAGUCCUAUAAUGAGCGAAACCCUCAUUUUGUGUUACUGAGACAUGCACCUAAGGAGAAAGUCUUUGCAACCGAAGUGACCCGAGUAAUGUGCCAGCACUACUAAUUGACUGCCGACACGUAGCUAUGCUAUUAGUAAGAAGGGAGUCGGCGUUUUUCAAAGCACUUUUGAAUGUGCGCUUUUUGUAGCAGAAAAAGACUUGGCAUUCAGGCAAGCCACUCGGUGGUGUGGUACAUAGUGGGUUUAGUACGCCCCUCCGGAACAAACUAAAGGGUGCAUGCUGCACUCACGAGGGACUGGCAGUGAAAUACUGGAGGAAGGUGGGGAUGACAUCAAGUCUGCAUGGCCACACACGUGCUACAAUGGCAAUUACAAUGGGAAGCAAGGCUGUAAGACGGAGCGAAUCCAGAAAGAUUACCUUAGUUCGGAUCGUUCUCUGCAAUUCGGGAACAUGAAGGUGGAAUCGCUAGUAAUCGUGGAUCAGCAUGCCGUGGUGAAUAUGUAAUCGGGGCCUGUACACUCCGCUUGUCACACCCUAGGAAUUGGUUUCGCCCGAAGCAUCGGACCAAUGAUCACCCAUGACUUCUGUGUAUAACUAGCGCAACAAAGGCUUUUGGUGGUCUUAUUGGCGCAUGCCACGGUGGGGUCUUUGACUGGGGUAAAGUUGUAAUAAAGUAGCCGUAGGGGAACCUGUGGCUG